GACUCUUAGUAGACCGUCUAAUGCAGUACGCGAUUGAAUCGUGUGAGUAGUUUAUUCGUUUCUCGCGUUUCUAGAGAAUAUCGAAGCUGCUCUUUGAUCGAAAGUUCAUCGAUCAUGGAUCCUUGGCGAACGUUAGACGAGACGAACAGGGGAACGAUUCAUUUGAAUCGUUCCACGCGUAUGUUGAGCCUGUUUGAGCGCCCUUAGCGCGUUCCCAUUCUGGAAGGGGAACACGAGACUCAUUUGGGUGGGCGAAUGUGACCCUCAAUAACUAAAGUUUUGACCUGGCCCUAGGUCAACUGCCAGGGUAUCCAAGUGGUGACUGAGACACCACUUAGACUUUUAGAUUUACAGCGGGUGACUGCCUAUUGUCACUUACUUUUUAACAUCACGAGCACCAUCCGAAGUCAGGACACUCAGGAUGGUACAAAUGACCAGGUUGAGAAAAACCAGCAGUCCCUGCUAUAAAUCCAAGCCCUAGUAUAAAAUUCGACACAUUUCAAUUUUAUCAAAUUUAUUAUUGCAACUUUUGUAAAUUUUCUGCAAAAAUUAUCAUUCUACUUUGAAUGAUCUAUUCAUCUGAAAAAUAUUUUAAUCUAGAUCUAAGAUUGUAAAGAUUGUUAUUAAUGAAAUAUUCUGUUCAUUGAAACACAUUUUUAUGGAUUUUAAUCCAUACAUUUGCAAGAAUUUCUUUGGUUACUGUAUAGAAAUAAAAGAUAGAAACAAUAGAAUGAUGAAAAGUUCAGUGGAACAAUGGACAAGCUACCCAGGUAAAUGUGUGUUUCGAAAGAAAAUCCAUAGAAAUUUUUAUAACCGUGUCGUGAACUAUUUUCAAAGAAUGAUGAAUGCUUGAUGAAUGCUAUGGUUCAGUGGUGCAUUAUUUUUGAAAAAUAUCUCGAUUAUAAAGAAUUUAUUUAUCACUUUA